rnacentral:rRNA from 1 species
AUUGAACGCUGGCGGCAUGCUUUACACAUGCAAGUCGAACGGCAGCGCGGGCUUCUGCCUGGCUGCGAGUGGCGAACGGGUGAGUAAUGCAUCGGAACGUGCCCAGUAGUGGGGGAUAGCCCGGCGAAAGCCGGAUUAAUACCGCCUACGACCUGAGGGUGAAAGCGGGGGACCGAAAGGCCUCGCGCUAUUGGAGCGGCCGAUGUCGGGUUAGCUAGCUGGUGGGGUAAAGGCUUACCAAGGCGACGAUCCGUAGCUGGUCUGAGAGGACGACCAGCCACACUGGGACUGAGACACGGCCCAGACUACUACGGGAGGCAGCAGUGGGGAAUUUUGGACAAUGGGGGCAAACCUGAUCCAGCCAUGCGGCGUGCGGGAAGAAGGCCUUCGGGUUGUAAACCGCUUUUGUUCGGGAAGAAAUCCUCUGGGCUAAUACCCAGGGGGGAUGACGGUACCGGAAGAAUAAGCACCGGCUAACUACGUG